UGGGCUCAGGACGGUCGGAAACCGUCUGUUAGAGUGCAAUGGCAUAAGCCCGCCUGACUGCGAGACUGACAAGUCGAGCAGAGACGAAAGUCGGCCAUAGUGAUCCGGUGGUCCCUCGUGGAAGGGCCAUCGCUCAACGGAUAAAAGGUACUCCGGGGAUAACAGGCUGAUAACCCCCAAGAGCUCAUAUCGACGGGGUUGUUUGGCACCUCGAUG
rnacentral:rRNA from 1 species